ACUUAAAUAGCUUAUAUUUAGAGCGUAAUAUUGAAGAUAUUAAGGAAAUGGAUUAUUUUUAAGUA
rnacentral:tRNA from 1 species